UACGUAGGGUGCGAGCGUUGUCCGGAAUUAUUGGGCGUAAAGAGCUCGUAGGCGGUUUGUCGCGUCGACUGUGAAAACCCGAGGCUUAACCUCGGGCCUGCAGUCGAUACGGGCAGACUAGAGUUCGGUAGGGGAGACUGGAAUUCCUGAUGUAGCGGUGAAAUGCGCAGAUAUCAGGAGGAACACCGGUGGCGAAGGCGGGUCUCUGGGCCGAUACUGACGCUGAGGAGCGAAAGCGUGGGGAGCGAACAGG
rnacentral:rRNA from 1 species